GGGAGAGAUGCCCAGCCCCUUAAAGGAGAAUACACACAAUUUUGGAAAAGUGGAGAGGAAGUGGAGGAGCCUAAGAAAGAGAGCAUGAAACAUAUCUCAUGUGAAGGGUCCAGUGGAAAAGUAGGGAGAGAAAUUGAAACAUCUGCAGGAUACAGACACAGGUACAGGGAGAAAAGGCAGCUGCAAGAGUCCUGGUGCCCAAUCUGUCUCCCUCCUCUCCAUCUUCCCAAAGACACUGGAACUAGGAUGCGACUGUCUUUGCCUCUGAGCUGAGGAAAAGUCCCCGGGAGACAGACAUCGUAUGUGGAAGAGAUCGCAGCUACAAGGCAGAUAGAAAGGCUA